rnacentral:rRNA from 1 species
AAGUGGAGCAAUCCAUGAGUAUAGUGGCGACCGGGUGAGUAACACGUGACUAACCUACCUUCGAGUGGGGGAUAACCUAGGGAAACCUGGGCUAAUACCGCAUAACAUCUUUGGAUCGGAAGAACUGGAGAUCAAAGGGGCAAUUCGCUUGAAGAGGGGGUCGCGGCUGAUUAGCUAGUUGGCGGGGUAAUGGCCCACCAAGGCUUUGAUCGGUAGCCGGCCUGAGAGGGCGCACGGCCACACUGGAACUGAAACACGGUCCAGGCUCCUACGGGAGGCAGCAGUGGGGAAUUUUGCGCAAUGGGGGAAACCCUGACGCAGCAACGCCGCGUGGAGGAUGAAGUCCCUUGGG